rnacentral:rRNA from 1 species
AACGAAGGCUGGCGGCAUGCCUAACACAUGCAAGUCGAACGAGACCUUCGGGUCUAGUGGCGCACGGGUGCGUAACGCGUGGGAACCUGCCCUUAGGUUCGGAAUAACUCCCCGAAAGGGGUGCUAAUACCGGAUAAUGUCUUCGGACCAAAGAUUUAUCGCCUUUGGAUGGGCCCGCGUUGGAUUAGCUAGUUGGUAGGGUAAAAGCCUACCAAGGCGACGAUCCAUAGCUGGUCUGAGAGGAUGAUCAGCCACACUGGGACUGAGACACGGCCCAGACUCCUACGGGAGGCAGCAGUGGGGAAUAUUGAACAAUGGGCGAAAGCCUGAUCCAGCAAUGCCGCGUGAGUGAUGAAGGCCUUAGGGUUGUAAAGCUCUUUUACCCGGGAUGAUAAUGACAGUACCGGGAGAAUAAGCUCCGGCUAACUCCGUG